rnacentral:lncRNA from 1 species
AGUUUGUCGGUGGGUCGAUGAUCCAUUGGAGUUAUUCGGGUCUUUAGAGGCAGAACAAGUGUUUGUGAAGAAGAAGAAGAAGAAGAAGAAGAAGAAGAAGAAGAAGAAGAAGAGAAACAUCUAUGUGUUCUAAUGAAAAGAAUGAGAAGAAUAAGAAGAUGAAACAGAGGAUGUAAUCUUGAGGACAUGAUGAUGUUAUUGUGAGUUUGUGUUUCUUGCAAGAAAAAUAUAAAAACUAAGUCUGUGUCUGUGAAUAAGAAGAAGAAGAUGCGAAGAAGUUUGGUGCAAGUUCACUGAAGAACAAUGAGAGAUGUUUGUUCUUUUCAGCUGGAAAAAUAUCUCUGUUUUGUUUUAUUUU